CUGCUGCAGGGACAGAGGCGCUGCUGCUGCUGCCUGCACACAGCCGGGGUAAUGCCCCAGGGACCCGCCAUCCCUGCCCAGGGCCAGAAGCCCCCUCAGCUGCUUCUCCCAUUCCCAGGUAGCCGGCCCCUCCUCUCCCUGCAGCCCAGCACACCACCAGCCCCUCUGCUAUUCCUGGGGGCCACAGGAUCCUCCUGGAACACACCAGGGAGCCCUCGUCACACGCCCCACCCUGACAUGCAAACACGAGCACCCUGGCAUGGAGCUGCACAGGCUCACCUUUCGAGUGCGGAGGGUGACGGACGCCCCCCGUUCAAGCAGCAGCUCAGCCACCUCGAAGUGGCCACAGUUGAGGGCAUCGUGGAGGGGGGUGAUGCCUUCGCAGCCCUGGCCACCUGGGUCGUCCACUGCGGCCCCGUGGUCCAGCAGGAAGCGGACAAUUUCUGCAGACCAGGAGACGUAAGCCCAGCUCCCGAUGCCCCGCCAGGACUGACUCUUCGCCCCACGUGUCCACCAAGGUUCAAGCGAUUCUCCUGCCUCAGCCUCCCGAGUAGCUGGGACUACAGGGUCUCACUGUGUUGCCCAGGCUGGAGUGCAGUGGCAUGAUCGCGACUCCUGCAGCCUCAAUCUCCCUCCCAGGAUGAAGUGAUCCUCCUGCCUCUAGGACCACAGGUGGCCCUGAAGCUCCUCGUCCUCCUCCAGCUGCGGGGUCAGGCCAUCGGUGUCGUCCUCUGGAACAGAGCCAAGCCCACCCCAGGGGAGUCCGUGGGAGGUGAAGGCCUCAUGGACAGGCUCCUGCCACCCACCACUCAGUCAGAAACCAGCCUCCCAGCUACCCGCUAACCCCGCUCUCAGCCCUCUCUCCCUGCACCACGGCCAAGAUGGCUUCAGUCCAAGCCCCGCUCCAGCCAGUCCCUCAUGCCUGCCCUCCGUGCAGCUGAUGUCGCCAGCCUCUGGAGGAAACCCAAGCCUGCUCUGAAGGGUUUCAGGAAGGUGCUCAGCUCUUGCAGAGGCAGCCGGGGCUCUUCAAAGUGCACCGUCUCACCCCUGGCCCCAGAUGGCACGUGCCUCUCUAACGGGACCAUGCCCCAGCUGACACUCACUCGACUCCCAACCACUGUCUCCUCCAGGAGGCCAAGGCCGCCCCAGGCUCCCUGCGGGUCACCACCUUCUCUGUCCAGUUCCGGGAAAGCACU